rnacentral:misc_RNA from 1 species
CUCCGUCAAUUCCUUUGAGUUUUAAUCUUGCGACCGUACUCCCCAGGCGGUCAACUUCACGCGUUAGCUGCGUUACCAAGAAGUUUCCUUCCCGACAACUAGUUGACAUCGUUUAGGGCGUGGACUACCAGGGUAUCUAAUCCUGUUUGCUCCCCACGCUUUCGUGCAUGAGCGUCAGUGUUAUCCCAGGAGGCUGCCUUCGCCAUCGGUAUUCCUCCACAUCUCUACGCAUUUCACUGCUACACGUGGAAUUCUACCUCCCUCUGACACACUCUAGCCUUGCAGUCACAAGCGCAGUUCCCAGGUUGAGCCCGGGGAUUUCACGCCUGUCUUACAAAACCGCCUGCGCACGCUUUACGCCCAGUAAUUCCGAUUAACGCUCGCACCCUACGUAUUACCG